UAGUCGUACUGUCACUUACAAACUGGAAAACCAAAUUGGACAGAAUCAGAAUUACAAUCGCUAGCGCAGUCCGUGGCGGAGAACAUAUCUGUGAUUCACGGCGAAUCCUUUUCCCUUCACGUAACCAACGAGGCGGACAAAGAUAACAGAUAGAUAUCUUCAACAUCCAGCUCCUAGAGGGACACCAGCUGUAAGAACUCCUGUCAGCUUCAAGUCUAGAAACUUCAACAAAGGUGGACAUCUGGAGAAGCUGAAAGACAGAUCUGCAACAUAGUGAAACUGUUUUCUGCUUUCGGCAAAUGGACAGUCAGUCAGUCACAGCAGGCAAGGCUCGGCAGUUUUGAAACCCAUGUCAACAGUGUUAAGCUUCAAGGAAAAAGAUUCAAGGAACUGUAUAUCAUAUGAUUCUGUAUAAAUAUCUCCAUGCAACAAAAGUGAUUUCUGGAACUAGAAGUAAUGAUGUUGGAGAGGCAAACAAUAUGAAUAAGACAACAGAAUCUCCGUCUUGUUGAAAAAGUGAUGUUUUUCUCUAUACAAGUUAUACCAGUAAUGCAAAGGCCAAGGACAUGGAUAGUGGUUUUUAAUAUUUAUAUAUAUGUGUAUUGAACUUUCUUACCAUAAGAUAAACUGACAUUCUAAACUAUAAAUUAUUUACAGUGCAACUUGGUUUUGUAUGGAUUUACUUUACAUGAGCAAGUAUUAAAUGAAUUAUAUUUUUGAUUCUAAA